rnacentral:rRNA from 1 species
UGGGGAAUUUUGCGCAAUGGGGGAAACCCUGACGCAGCAACGCCGCGUGCGGGAUGACGGCCUUCGGGUUGUAAACCGCUUUCAGUAGGGACGAAUUUGACGGUACCUACAGAAGAAGCCCCGGCUAACUACGUGCCAGCAGCCGCGGUAAUACGUAGGGGGCGAGCGUUAUCCGGAUUCAUUGGGCGUAAAGCGCGCGUAGGCGGCCAGUUAGGUCGGGAGUCAAAUUUCGGGGGCUCAACCCCGUCUCGCUCCCGAUACCGGCUGGCUUGAGUGUGGUAGGGGAAGGCGGAAUUCCCGGUGUAGCGGUGGAAUGCGCAGAUAUCGGGAAGAACACCGGUGGCGAAGGCGGCCUUCUGGGCCAUCACUGACGCUGAGGCGCGAAAGCUAGGGGAGCAAACAGGAUUAGAUACC